GCUGGGCGUGGUGGUGCAUGCCUGUAAUCUCAUUCACUUAGGAGGCUGAGGCGGGAGGAUCCCAAGUUCAAGGCCAGCCUGGGCAACUCAGUGAGACUCUGUCUCAA
rnacentral:sRNA from 1 species